rnacentral:misc_RNA from 1 species
GAACGCACCUUGCGCCCUUUGGCUAUUCCGAAGGGCAUGCCUGUUUGAGUAUCAUGAACACUUCAACUCUCAUGGUUUGCCAUGAUGAGCUUGGACUUUGGAGGUCUUGCCGGCCUGUGGUCGGCUCCUCUCAAAUGGAUCAGCUUGCCAGUGUUUGGUGGCAUCAUGGGUGUGAUAACUAUCUACGCCUGUGGUUUUCCACCGGAUAACCUUCAGUGAUGGAGGUUCGCUGGAGCUCAUAAAUGUCUCUCCUCAGUGAAGACAGCCUUUUGAACGUUUGAUCUCAAAUCAGGUAGGACUACCCGCUGAACUUAAG